rnacentral:rRNA from 1 species
CUUGCAUUCAAUAAGCGGAGGAAAAGCACCAACCGGGAUUGCCCUAGUAACGGCGAGUAAGCGGCAAGAGCUCAAAUUUGAAAGCUGGCUCYCYCCUCGGGGUCCGCAUUGUAAUUUGCAGAGGAUGCUUCGGGAACGCKCCCCCAUCUAAGUGCCCUGGAACGGGCCGUCAUAGAGGGUAGMGRAUCCCGUCUGGGAUGGGGUGGCCGCGCCCGUGUGAAGCUCCUUCGACGAGUCGAGUUGUUUGGGAAUGCAGCUCUAAUUGGGUGGUAAAUUUMWUCUAAAGCUAAAUAUUGGCCGGAGACCGAUAGCGCACAAGUAGAGUGAUCGAAAGAUGAAAAGCACUUUGAAAAGAGAGUUAAMCAGCACGUGAAAUUGUUGAAAGGGAAGCGCUUGCGACCAGACUCGCCCGCGGGGUUCAAGCCGGCACUCGUGCCGGUGUACUUCCCCGCGGGCGGGCCAGCGUCGGUUUGGSCGGCCGGUCAAAGGCCUSUGGAAGGUAACGCCUCYCGGGGCGUCUUAUAGCCAGGGGUGCCAURCARGCCUGCCCGGACCGAGGAACGCGCUUCGGCUCGGACGCUGGCAUAAUGGUCGUAAGCGACCCGUCUUGAAACACGGACCAAGGAGUCA